UACGGAGGGCGCAAGCGUUGUUCGGAAUCAUUGGGCGUAAAGCGCGUGCAGGCGGCUUGGUAAGUCGGGUGUGAAAGCCCGGGGCUCAACCCCGGAACUGAACCCGAUACUGCCUCGCUAGAGUCCCGGAGAGGAUGGCGGAAUUUCCGGUGUAGAGGUGAAAUUCGUAGAUAUUGGAAGGAACACCAGCGGCGAAGGCGGCCAUCUGGACGGUGACUGACGCUCAGACGCGAAAGCGUGGGGAGCAAACAGG
rnacentral:rRNA from 1 species